rnacentral:rRNA from 1 species
UACGAAGGGGGCUAGCGUUGCUCGGAAUCACUGGGCGUAAAGGGUGCGUAGGCGGGUCUUUAAGUCAGGGGUGAAAUCCUGGAGCUCAACUCCAGAACUGCCUUUGAUACUGAAGAUCUUGAGUUCGGGAGAGGUGAGUGGAACUGCGAGUGUAGAGGUGAAAUUCGUAGAUAUUCGCAAGAACACCAGUGGCGAAGGCGGCUCACUGGCCCGGUACUGACGCUGAGGUGCGAAAGCGUAGGGAGCAAACAGG